CUGCACUGCUUCUAGGCUGAGAAAGGUUCAGUUCCAGCUGCAGAAUCUCUUGAUGGGCUAGUCUUAAAGAAACAAAACAACCCUGCCUUUUAUCAUUCUUCUGCUUUUUGUGUUGGAGAGCCCUCCUGCAGGAAAUCGCUGGGGCAUUUGGGGCCACAAGGCUGGCUGAGCCACCACAGCAGUUUUAACAGGGGAAUAACUGUGUCCUGAAUUUGGAAGUGGAAAUGACUGUAAGGAUCUAUUCCUUUUAAUCUGAUGGCAAGGAAGUGCUGCUACCCUUUCAGUUCUCCCAGAUUCGGCUUAAAAGGAUUGUUCAGAAUAAUUCUUUUCUAAUGCUGUUAUAAACUGUACUCAGCCUUACAAGAGUUCAAGAUUAUAGGCUCUGGUGUGUGAUUAGAAAUUAUAUUAAUAAGAGAAGGAAGACAGACUAGUCAAGGACCAGCCCUCUUGUUUGUAUCAGGACAGACAUGCUAUCUCUCCACCUCCCCCCUCUCCCCGAAAUGUGAGAUAUAUAUAUGUGUAUGUUGCUGCUGCUGCUGCUGCUAAGUCGCUUCAGUCGUGUCCAACUCUGUGUGACUCCAUAGACGGCAGCCCACCAGGCUCUACAGUCCCUGGG
rnacentral:lncRNA from 1 species